UACGUAGGUGGCAAGCGUUGUCCGGAAUUAUUGGGCGUAAAGCGCGCGCAGGCGGCCUUUUAAGUCUGAUGUGAAAGCCCACGGCUCAACCGUGGAAGGUCAUUGGAAACUGGGAGGCUUGAGUAUAGGAGAGGAAAGUGGAAUUCCACGUGUAGCGGUGAAAUGCGUAGAGAUGUGGAGGAACACCAGUGGCGAAGGCGACUUUCUGGCCUAUUACUGACGCUGAGGCGCGAAAGCGUGGGGAGCAAACAGG
rnacentral:rRNA from 1 species